rnacentral:rRNA from 1 species
UGUCACCAGGCUUCCUUGAACAUACCCACUCUCAUCCGAUUUGGGAAGCUCAGCAGGAUCAGUCCUGGUUAAUACCUGGAUGGGAGACUCUGUUGAAUGUCAACCAAUAAGGCUGUGAAAUCAU